CGAGAGAGGGCGCAUGGAGACCUUUUAGCCCGGAGAUGGGCACUGAGACAAGGGCCCAGGCCCUACGGGGCGCAGCAGUUGCGAAAACUCCACAAUGCACGAAAGUGUGAUGGGGCUAACCCGAGUGCCGUCCGCUGAGGAUGGCUUUUCUCCGCUGUAAGGAGGCGGAGGAAUAAGGAGAGGGCAAGACUGGUGUCAGCCGCCGCGGUAAUACCAGCUCUCCGAGUGGUAGGGACGAUUAUUGGGCUUAAAGCGUUCGUAGCCGGCCUGGCAAGUCUCUCGUCAAAUCCAGCGACCCAAUCGCUGGGCCGCGGGAGAUACUGUCAGGCUCGGGAGCGGAAGAGGCCGACGGUAUUCCCGGGGUAGGAGUGGAAUCCUAUAAUCCCGGGAGGACCACCAGUGGCGAAGGCUGUCGGCUAGAACGCGUCUGACGGUGAGGGACGAAAGCUGGGGGAGCGAACCGGAUUAGAUACCCGGGUAGUCCCAGCUGUAAACGAUGCGGGCUAGGUGUCGGUGUGGCUACGAGCCACCCCGGUGCCGCAGGGAAACUUCAUAAGCCCGCCGCCUGGGAAGUACGGUCGCAAGGCUGAAACUUAAAGGAAUUGGCGGGGGAGUACCCACCAGGGGUGAAGCUUGCGGUUCAUUUGGAGUCAACGCCGGG
rnacentral:rRNA from 1 species